GUCACUAACCCCCGGCUGAAGCUAGGGGCUUGUAGGAGAAAGGCUAACCACCUUUCAAAUACAAGACCAAACCAGUGUCUAGCUCAUGAAACUGGACUGUCUGAGUGUGGUAGCUCAAAACACUUGACGGGAUGUCUCCCUAGUCUGUACACUCUAUC
rnacentral:sRNA from 20 species